CUUCUGUAUAUUUUCUGACAUUAUUACUUUAAAUAAAUCCUCUUUCAUGAUGUUACAAUUUUUGACAUCUGCUGUCAUUUCUUCUAUCCAAACUUCAAAUCUAUUUUCUUUUAAGCUGUUUCAAUUAUUUAUUUAUUUUUGACAUUUCAUUCAUGUUUCAACUUUUGACAUUUAUAUCUGCAAAUCAAUCAUCUUUUAAGUUUACUAUUUUUUUUUGACUUUUCAUUCAUAUCACUACUUCGAAUAAAUCCCCUCUUCAAGAUGUUUCAAUUUUUGACAUUAGCUGUCAUUAACAUUUUCUAUCUCCAAUCUUCCAAGACAUUUUUCUUUAAACCUUUUUCAAUUCCCUACAUUUUUUUUGACAUUUCAUUCAUUGACUCUACUUCGAAUAAAUCCUCAUUCAAGAUGUUUCAAUUUUUGACAUUUAUAUUGUCAUUUGCUGUCAUCACCAUUUCAUCUCAUUUAAUAAAUCCUAUUUAAAGCUGUUUCAGUUAUUAUUAAUUUUUUUUUGACAUUUCAUCUCUAUUGCUUAUAUUUACAUUGACAUUUUCUGUUUCAAUAAUUUUUUUUGACAUUCAAGAUGUUUCAACUGUCAACAUUUCCUCUUAUUACCAACCUCUUAAUAAAUUCUUAUACUUCGACAUUCCUCAUUCUCCAACUGCCGUUACCAUAGCAACUACUAUCCUUUACUUUGGAAAUACCGGUCCUAUUUGUGCGCAUUACUUAUACUUAAAAUUCUAUUCUUUCAGCUCUCUUCUUAAUUACUUAUUCUCUCUUUUUAUCAUCAUCAUUUACAUUCUUAAUAUCUAGUAACCGUUUCUAGUUAGUACCAUUAUUUUAUUUUAUUCCUUUUUUUACUCUUAAGUUUCUUAAUCUUCUUUGAAUCCAACUAAAUCUGAAUAUUUUCAUCAUCAUCAUUUACAUACUUUUCUCCUCUUAAUACUCAUAAUUUUUCGAUAUGUUUCAGUUUGAAUUUGUUAAUCCUGAAAAUAUUUAGUAACCGUUUGUAUUUAGUGCCAUAUUUCUUUCUGCUUGUUUAAUUGAAUUAAAUUCAAGUUAUUGUUAAUUUUAGUGCCAUAUUUAUUGUUUUCGAUUUGAAAACCUCUGAAUCAAACUUUAACCUGAAUUGGGCGUUAUCUGACGAAAAUUUUGGACUGCUGAAUUCGUUAUAGUUUGUUUUUUUUUGAGCAAUUUAAAUCGAAGGUGUGCGGCGAGCUUAGAUAUUUCAAUGAAGAUAAUCCUAGCAAAUCGAAACGAAGCGAUUCUCUCCAAGAAAGAACAGGACGUCGACUAAUAAUGAGGUUUGGAACUUGAACUUGGAACUAAUGUUUUCUUGUAUCAUUUCUUUGUUUGCUUUAAGAGAAAAAUUGGUUCCAUUUUCUUAGUUUUUUUUUGGUACAACAUCGACAUGCAAUUAUAUAAGUUAUAAUAUAAGGUCCGCGAAGGACAGAGUGCUUAAGACUAGAUCGCACGGAUUCGAUCUCCGCCAGAUUAUCAUUGUCCAGAUAAUUUAGUCGAGAUUGAAAAUGUGGACAACAAAUUAGACAACACCUUGUACACAUAUAGAACGAGAAAACUGAGCGCGAAAUGCUCAUCAUUCGUUAGGAAUCGAAACUUUAUGUCGUCUUUAGUUAAGUAUGGAAGUAACGAAAUAUUGGCAGAUAAGCACAAUUUUUUUUUUAUAUAUUUUUUUUUUGUUGAAUCUGUUAGAAAACUUUGGUUUUUCGGUGCAAAUCUCUCGGAUAUUUCGCAAAAAAACUUAAAUCUAGUGAAAUAUGAAUAUAUAGUUUACGUCAGAUGUUAAAAGUGAACUAUCAGCAGCAGUGGAUGAAACACACCCAGUCCGUAUCACCUUCAUUAAAUCUAACUUACAAACUAACUAGGAAGCUUAAUUUCGAACGAAAACCACGAGGAUAACGAUGGUUUCCGCGUUGCGUAAUAUCAUUAAGGUAAUCUUAGGAAGCUACAUUUCGAACGGAAACCGUGAGGAUGUCGACGGUCUCCGUGCUUUAUAAUAACACAUCAUCAAUACUGGAACUAGACUAGUCGAAAGUUUCAAUUAGUCAUCUCCAUGCGUAAGGUGCAGCCAGCGAAGUGGCUGCGCGUGAUCAGUAAAAACCAAGGUAUUUACAGGUCCUUAAAAUCUAUAUUAGACUACAGAUAUUGGCAUAAUAUUAAAGAUCGUAUAUCAAAUUAAUAAACGAUAGAUCUAAACUACGUUUACUAAAACUAAUUUUUUUUUGCUUUUUUAAAUAUAUAUUUUUUUUUGAGAGAACGAAUCGGACCCUCGGGGUCUCAAAUCCGCCUCCCAUCUGUCAUUAUGACAUCCUCGAGAGGAUUGGGUGCGACCCCGCCCGCGGGGGUCGCGUAUCUUUAUUUUUAUUCAUUCCUUGCAUAAUUUUAAAGAAUCCCUUGUACGAGAUUCCUUAAAAAAGUUAAUCUGGAUUCCCGACUUGUGGGGAACCAAGAUUCUUAAUUCCUUAACCUUACUUAAGUAACCUUAACCUAACUACUUGUUGACACAACACCUCCGCUCUUUGCGGUGACGUAAAAGUAUGACUUUUUGAAAGAAAACAAAACCCACACGAUACGUGCAACAUCCACUAGGAUCCUCCCAUUAAUCAAAAAAAAAUCAAGUUACUCCCAAAAUCCAAAUUCACUUUUGUCAAACAAUCAAACAAUCUCAAGAUUGUUUGAAUUAUUAUAUUUUUUUAAAUUUAUCCCUAAAGUUGUCAAAAAUCUCAGCACAUUAAUAACUUUACCAAAAUCUACGAUAAACACAAAACGUAAUAGCCUUUGUCAAUAAAAAAAUUUCGAAACUUUCGAGGGAUUUCGAUUUUUUUUUCCAUAAAAUUUGCAAAGGCUUAAGUGAAUUGACGCUUACGAAAGAAACGUUUUGAAUCAGUUUUUUUUUUGUUAUUGAUGACAAAGUCAAUCAAUUUGGUUCCAAAAGAUGUUCGAAGGGCCUAAAUCGCUAUACAAAAAAAAACGUAGUCGAUCAAUCACUUAUUUUUAGAAUAUGCGACUUAAGUAUUGCAAAUUCAGAUUUCGAUGUUCGAAUCUCAUAUAGCUGUAUUCACUGGGAUUUUAUUAAUCGUUAAGAAAAAUGGUUGCUGUUCAAAAUAUCCGAAGUUUAUUGUAACUUUAGGGAUUUUUUUUUGAAAGAUGGUAAUUUGACAGUAAUUUGACUUUUAAUGACGUAUGCGAUGAUUUUCGUGUUGUGCACGUCGUGACGGUUGUCCUUUCAAAAAGUUCAACUUUACGUUCGACUAGCUUUGAAGUGCUUAAACGUAUCUAACUUAUAACCUAAAGCUAAAUAAGGACGAAACCGGUGCUACGGCGAAUGCGUGUUGCGAACCCGGUUCCGUUUUAUUGCUCCUAUUAUGUCUUAUUUCAUACAUUUGGUUGAUAUACCACACCGAUAUGCGACUCCGAACAAAAGUCGCAAAAUCCUGAACGUCACCUCUGCUAAACUUAAAACUAAUUUAGAAUAAACACCGUAAGAAGAACGCAUAUCAGCCUUCUUAGGCCCACUAUUCACGAACGCGCUCGGAAUAACGGGAAAAAAUUAUAGUAGUUAAAUGAAAACACUUUUCUAUACUCUACACUUACAAUUAGGUUCCAAUAAACACCUUAAAAAACUAGAUUACAACUACAUUGUUGAAUCGCCGACGAUCGUUUGGAAAUACUCAAUUGUGCGCGUGUCUGUGUACAUUAGCUAAAUUUUUUUUAUAUAUAUUAAAAACUGCCGUUGUUCUGCAGCUCACCUCAAUCCAUUGACUGAUUCCAAUUUGUUCCCAAUCACGAGAUUUCCUAAAGUUAAGAGUUUUUUUUUCGUGUAGAUCCAAACGACCGAGAGCGCUUCAAACGCUUAAAACUAGAUCUGUAACCGUUGAUAUUAUUAUGCUCCAAGGUUAAUCACGAAGAGAAACCUGGGCUUGAUAAAUUAUGAAAAUCAUAUCGAAUAACUGAAAAAAGCACUUAGAAAUCUAAAUAUGUACAUAUGACGCUGGUUUGGUUGCCUUCAUCAAUCAAUCUUCCAAUCCGUACCUGCCACAACCGACUUCCAGACAAACGUAAUUUCCAAACUAAAUCCCAUAAGAAAAUCAUAGACUUACAAUUUAUAACUAACAUCAGAAGAUUUAUGCUUUGUUUCCCAAUAAAAGGAAAGACAAAGGCUGCACCACAUUUUGAUCAAAAAAGUUCAUUUUUGUUUAACUGCUUGAUUUUAGGCUUAGGAAUUCAGCGGAUAUUGUUGAUAAUUGAUGGUUAAUUUGUAUCAUCCGAAAAAUUUGUAAACUAAUCAAAGAUGUAAUUGCAAAUGUCUUCCCCCUUGAUAAAAAAACUUCUGAUCAAUCUACAUAUUUAAACCUAUCUCACCGUUAGCCACGUGAUAUAUUUAUUACUUAAAAGCUAUAAAACGCGUCACGAUCUGCAGCUACUUUCUACGAAAACAAAAAGUUUUGUACUUUCAUUCUGAGCUUUGUACUGUCUUCAUCAUAUCUUACGAACGAUUCUAUUAUUAUUAUCAUUAUUUUAGGUGAUUUAAUAAAAAAAAAAGGAAAAACUUUCGUCUCACAUAGUUUUAGAAGAAAUCGUGAAGCGAGGUCACUAGUGAAAUAUGUUAGUUUUUCAUAUUAAUUUAGCAAUUAUUGUCUUUAUUUAAUUCAGUUCUGAUGUUUCUAUUAUUUAUUCGAUUAUUAGUGCUGAAGAAAGUCUCGGACUAACCAAUAAACCGAAUUAAUUUAGAAUAUUCAAUAGUUUAUAGUUUUUAAUUUUGGAAAUUUCAUAAUUUUGUUUUGGAGAUUUGAUUUUGACUGAUGGAAGAAAAUCAAGUGCGUCGUUGAUUAUGAAACGUCAAUUUAGACACGAGAUGUUGUUUACGCAAUUACGAAUUUUGACGACAAUGAAGAUAAAAAAAAA